UGGGGAAUUUUGGACAAUGGGGGAAACCCUGAUCCAGCCAUCCCGCGUGUGCGAUGAAGGCCUUCGGGUUGUAAAGCACUUUUGGCAGGAAAGAAACGUCGCGGGUUAAUACCCCGCGAAACUGACGGUACCUGCAGAAUAAGCACCGGCUAACUACGUGCCAGCAGCCGCGGUAAUACGUAGGGUGCAAGCGUUAAUCGGAAUUACUGGGCGUAAAGCGUGCGCAGGCGGUUCGGAAAGAAAGAUGUGAAAUCCCAGAGCUUAACUUUGGAACUGCAUUUUUAACUACCGGGCUAGAGUGUGUCAGAGGGAGGUGGAAUUCCGCGUGUAGCAGUGAAAUGCGUAGAUAUGCGGAGGAACACCGAUGGCGAAGGCAGCCUCCUGGGAUAACACUGACGCUCAUGCACGAAAGCGUGGGGAGCAAACAGGAUUAGAUACCCUGGUAGUCCACGCCCUAAACGAUGUCAACUAGCUGUUGGGGCCUUCGGGCCUUGGUAGCGCAGCUAACGCGUGAAGUUG
rnacentral:rRNA from 1 species